UUUAUGGAGAGUUUGAUCCUGGCUCAGAGUGAACGCUGGCGGCGUGCCUAAUACAUGCAAGUCGAACGAUGAAGCUUCUAGCUUGCUAGAGUGCUGAUUAGUGGCGCACGGGUGAGUAACGCAUAGGUCAUGUGCCUCUUAGUUUGGGAUAGCCAUUGGAAACGAUGAUUAAUACCAGAUAUUCCCUACGGGGGAAAGAUUUAUCGCUAAGAGAUCAGCCUAUGUCCUAUCAGCUUGUUGGUAAGGUAAUGGCUUACCAAGGCUAUGACGGGUAUCCGGCCUGAGAGGGUGAACGGACACACUGGAACUGAGACACGGUCCAGACUCCUACGGGAGGCAGCAGUAGGGAAUAUUGCUCAAUGGGGGAAACCCUGAAGCAGCAACGCCGCGUGGAGGAUGAAGGUUUUAGGAUUGUAAACUCCUUUUGUUAGAGAAGAUAAUGACGGUAUCUAACGAAUAAGCACCGGCUAACUCCGUGCCAGCAGCCGCGGUAAUACGGAGGGUGCAAGCGUUACUCGGAAUCACUGGGCGUAAAGAGCGCGUAGGCGGGAUAGUCAGUCAGGUGUGAAAUCCUAUGGCUUAACCAUAGAACUGCAUUUGAAACUACUAUUCUAGAGUGUGGGAGAGGUAGGUGGAAUUCUUGGUGUAGGGGUAAAAUCCGUAGAGAUCAAGAGGAAUACUCAUUGCGAAGGCGACCUGCUGGAACAUUACUGACGCUGAUUGCGCGAAAGCGUGGGGAGCAAACAGGAUUAGAUACCCUGGUAGUCCACGCCCUAAACGAUGGAUGCUAGUUGUUGGAGGGCUUAGUCUCUCCAGUAAUGCAGCUAACGCAUUAAGCAUCCCGCCUGGGGAGUACGGUCGCAAGAUUAAAACUCAAAGGAAUAGACGGGGACCCGCACAAGCGGUGGAGCAUGUGGUUUAAUUCGAAGAUACACGAAGAACCUUACCUAGGCUUGACAUUGAGAGAAUCCGCUAGAAAUAGUGGAGUGUCUAGCUUGCUAGACCUUGAAAACAGGUGCUGCACGGCUGUCGUCAGCUCGUGUCGUGAGAUGUUGGGUUAAGUCCCGCAACGAGCGCAACCCCCUUUCUUAGUUGCUAACAGGUUAUGCUGAGAACUCUAAGGAUACUGCCUCCGUAAGGAGGAGGAAGGUGGGGACGACGUCAAGUCAUCAUGGCCCUUACGCCUAGGGCUACACACGUGCUACAAUGGGGUGCACAAAGAGAAGCAAUACUGCGAAGUGGAGCCAAUCUUCAAAACACCUCUCAGUUCGGAUUGUAGGCUGCAACUCGCCUGCAUGAAGCUGGAAUCGCUAGUAAUCGCAAAUCAGCCAUGUUGCGGUGAAUACGUUCCCGGGUCUUGUACUCACCGCCCGUCACACCAUGGGAGUUGUGUUUGCCUUAAGUCAGGAUGCUAAAUUGGCUACUGCCCACGGCACACACAGCGACUGGGGUGAAGUCGUAACAAGGUAACCGUAGGUGAACCUGCGGUUGGAUCACCUCCUUUCUAGA
rnacentral:rRNA from 1 species